UACGUAGGUGGCAAGCGUUGUUCGGAAUUAUUGGGCGUAAAGAGCGCGCAGGCGGUCGAUCAAGUCGCGUGUGAAAGCCCCCGGCUCAACUGGGGAGGGUCACGCGAUACUGAUCGACUCGAAGGCAGGAGAGGGUAGUGGAAUUCCCGGUGUAGUGGUGAAAUGCGUAGAUAUCGGGAGGAACACCAGUGGCGAAGGCGACUACCUGGCCUGUUUCUUGACGCUGAGGCGCGAAAGCUAGGGGAGCAAACGGG
rnacentral:rRNA from 1 species